rnacentral:rRNA from 1 species
UGAGAGUUUGAUCCUGGCUCAGGAUGAACGCUGGCAGCGUGGAUAAGGCAUGCAAGUCUAUCCGCCUUUAUGGCGGAGGCAAACGGGCUAGUAACACGUGGGAAUCUACCCUAAAGACGGGAAUAACCCGGAGAAAUCCGGGAUAAUACCCGAUGUGGUCGUCUCUGACGAUUAAAGAUUUAUCGCUUUAGGAGGAGCCCGCGCACUAUCAGCUUGUUGGUGGGGUAAUGGCCCACCAAGGCUAUGACGGUUAGGGGGUGUGAGAGCAUGACCCCCAGCAUUGGCACUGAGACACUGGCCAAACACCUACGGGUGGCUGCAGUCAAGAACCUUCCACAAUGGGGGAAACCCUGAUGGAGCGACGCUGCGUGCGGGAUGAAGGCCUUCGGGUUGUAAACCGCUUUUGUAGGGGACGAAUCUUUUGAUGACGGUACCCUUUCGAAUAAGAGGUUGCUAACUCUGUGCCAGCAGCAGCGGUAAUACAGAGACCUCGAGCGUUAUCCGGAUUUACUGGGCGUAAAGCGUCUGUAGGGGGUUUAUGAAGUUCCAAGUAAAACCUUAA